AAACAGUUCUGUAAAGAGGAAUGGUCAAGAAUUACUCCUGACCGUUGUGCACGUCUGAUCUGCAACUACAGGAAACGUUUGGUUGAAGUUAUUGCUGCCAAAGGAGGUUCAACCAGUUAUUAAAUCCAAGGGUUCACAUACUUUUUCCACCUGCGCUGUGAAUGUUUACAUGGUGUGUUCAAUAAAAACAUGGCAACAUUUCAUUCUUUGUGUG